AUUAUUUAAGAGCUUAACAUUGUAAGUACAUACAAAUUACGAAAGCAAAAAAUUAUGGCGGUAUUUUAAGCUUUUCAGAGGAAUUUGCUCUUUAAUGGAUAAAACACCUAAAUCUUACUUAAAUUUGUUAAUACAAUUUGUAUACCACUAUUAAAAUAAUUAUUAACUUUAAUUAUUUAAAUUUACAAUAAAUAAAAAAAAUUAAGUCAAGGUGCAGUAUAAAUUUAAGAAUGAAGUGAAUUACAUUUCUUUUAAGAGAGGAAAAAUUAAAAUGCAGUUAGGAUUUGAAAGUAAAAUUAAAAUAGAAUGUUAAUUUGAAUCAAGCUCUAAAAUAUGUAC
rnacentral:rRNA from 1 species